rnacentral:rRNA from 1 species
CACGUAGGGGCUAGCGUUGUCCGGAAUUACUGGGCGUAAAGAGCUCGUAGGUGGUUUGUCACGUCGUCUGUGAAAUUCCGGGGCUUAACCUCGGGCGUGCAGGCGAUACGGGCAAUACUUGAGUGCUGUAGGGGAGACUGGAAUUCCUGGUGUAGCGGUGAAAUGCGCAGAUAUCAGGAGGAACACCAAUGGCGAAGGCAGGUCUCUGGGCAGUUACUGACGCUGAGGAGCGAAAGCAUGGGUAGCGAACAGGAUUAGAUA